UACGGGGGGGGCAAGCGUUGUUCGGAAUUACUGGGCGUAAAGGGUUUGUAGGUGGCUUGUUAAGUCAGACGUGAAAUCCCUCAGCUUAACUGGGGAACUGCGUCUGAUACUGGCGAGCUUGAGUGCAGGAGAGGAACGCGGAAUUCCAGGUGUAGCGGUGAAAUGCGUAGAUAUCUGGAGGAACACCGGUGGCGAAGGCGGCGAUCUGGACGAUGACUGACGCUGAGACGCGAAAGCGUGGGGAGCAAACAGG
rnacentral:rRNA from 1 species